rnacentral:rRNA from 1 species
GACGAACGCUGGCGGCGUGCCUAAUACAUGCAAGUAGAACGCUGAAGCUUGGUGCUUGCACCGAGCGGAUGAGUUGCGAACGGGUGAGUAACGCGUAGGUAACCUGCCUGGUAGCGGGGGAUAACUAUUGGAAACGAUAGCUAAUACCGCAUAAAAUGGAUUAUCGCAUGAUAAUUCAUUGAAAGGUGCAAAUGCAUCACUACCAGAUGGACCUGCGUUGUAUUAGCUAGUUGGUGGGGUAACGGCUCACCAAGGCGACGAUACAUAGCCGACCUGAGAGGGUGAUCGGCCACACUGGGACUGAGACACGGCCCAGACUCCUACGGGAGGCAGCAGUAGGGAAUCUUCGGCAAUGGACGGAAGUCUGACCGAGCAACGCCGCGUGAGUGAAGAAGGUUUUCGGAUCGUAAAGCUCUGUUGUAAGAGAAGAACGAGUGUGAGAGUGGAAAGUUCACACUGUGACGGUAUCUUACCAGAAAGGGACGGCUACUCCAC